GCAGAUAAUGCUGCUCUUCUUUUUCAGAAGUUUUUGGUGAGCCAACCCUCACACACCUUCCUAAAAACUAAAAGAGCUAUUACUGAGUCUCAGUGAAUCUUGCCAUGAUCAGCUCUUCCCAGAAGAGAAGGAAGACCAAGGAAAUGAUUUGCUCAGGAUGAGGAAUGAAGACGGCCAUCUUGUGCUCAAACAAACAGAAGUCCACUGAUGAUCUCAUCAGCCAAAUGAGGGGUUUUGAUCAAGUGAUGCUCUUGAAAGGAGUGAAAGAAGAGGAUGUGGUAAAUUGUCUUCAGAGAAAAAGCUUCUCAAAAGGUCUUAAAGCAGCUUGAAGAAUGGUCUGGGAUCUUAGGACUGAGAGAUCCUCUGGCUGAGAACAUGCUACACCACAUCAGUGCUGGAUAUCAACCACAAACUGUUUCCAGACACGAGAGAAGAAGAUCACGAUGGGGAGAUGAAACCAGUUUAGAUGUGAUGAUAAGGAAUCAUUAUUUUCUGGAACAGUAUCACAUGUCUUA